GUGCCAGCAGCCGCGGUAAUACGAAGGGGGCUAGCGUUGUUCGGAUUUACUGGGCGUAAAGCGCGUGUAGGCGGGUCGUUAAGUUGGGGGUGAAAUCCCGGAGCUCAACUCCGGAACUGCCUCCAAAACUGGCGACCUGGAGCAAGAUAGAGGCAAGUGGAAUUCCGAGUGUAGAGGUGAAAUUCGUAGAUAUUCGGAGGAACACCAGUGGCGAAGGCGACUUGCUGGAUCUUUGCUGACGCUGAGACGCGAAAGCGUGGGGAGCAAACAGGAUUAGAUACCCGUGUAGUCC
rnacentral:rRNA from 1 species